rnacentral:lncRNA from 10 species
UCACUACAGCCUCUGCCUCCCAGGUUCAAGCAAUUCUCCUGCCUUAGCCUCUUGAGUAGCUGGGACUACAGGCGUGCACCAUCAUGCCCAGCUAAUUUUUGUAUUUUUAGUAGAAAUGGGGUUUCACCAUGUUGGCCAGGCUGGUCUCGAACUGACCCCAAGUGAUCUACCUGCCUCGGCCUCCUAAAGUGCUGGGAUUAUAGGUGUGAGCCACCGCACCUAGCUGAAAAUUACUUUAUUUGCUCAUAGUUCCGUAGGCUGUGCAAGAAACAUGGCACCAGCAUCUGCUUGGCUUCUGGUGAGAGCGUCAGGCUGCUUCUUAAAUUUCUUUUCUUCUUGGAGUCUAAGAUUUUAAAAGUUGCAGCCCACAUGUGAAUCCAAAUUUCCUUUGAACCAUCAAAUUUGAAUCCCUCUAAUUUUCACAGAUUCCUGGGCUGUCUCCAGAUUCACUGAAUCAGAAUUUCUAAGAGAUGGGCCUAGAAAUUUGAUUUUUUUUUUUUUUUGGAGACAGCGUCUUGCUCUGCUGUCCCUGUGGGACUGCAGUGGUGUGAUUCAUGGCUCACUGCAGCCUGGAACUCCUGGGCUCAAGGGAUCCUCUUGCCUCAACCUCCCCAGUAGCUGGGACUACAGGUGCACAGCACCAUGCCUUACUAAUUUUUAAUUUUUGGUGGAGAUGGGGGUCUUGCUAUGUUGC